rnacentral:pre_miRNA from 1 species
AAUGUACUCCCUCCGUUUGGAAUUACUUGUCACAAAAAUGGAUGUAUCUACAACUAAAAUACAUCUAGAUACAUUCAUUUCUUGGACGAGUAAUUCCGAACGGAGGGAGUAGCAU